rnacentral:rRNA from 1 species
UACAGAGGGUGCGAGCGUUGUUCGGAAUCAUUGGGCGUAAAGGGCGUGUAGGCGGGCAGGUAAGUCCGUGGUGAAAUCUCUGAGCUUAACUCAGAAACUGCCAUGGAUACUAUUUGUCUUGAAUAUUGUGGAGGUAAGCGGAAUAUGUCAUGUAGCGGUGAAAUGCUUAGAUAUGACAUAGAACACCAAUUGCGAAGGCAGCUUACUACACAGUAAUUGACGCUGAGGCACGAAAGCGUGGGGAUCAAACAGG